rnacentral:rRNA from 1 species
GAUGAACGCUGGCGGCGUGCUUAACACAUGCAAGUCGAACGAAGCACUCUAUUUGAUUUUCUUCGGAGAUGAAGAUUUUGUGACUGAGUGGCGGACGGGUGAGUAACGCGUGGGUAACCUGCCUCAUACAGGGGGAUAACAGUUGGAAACGACUGCUAAUACCGCAUAAGCGCACGGUAUCGCAUGGUACCGUGUGAAAAACUCCGGUGGUAUGAGAUGGACCCGCGUCUGAUUAGCUAGUUGGUGGGGUAACAGCCUACCAAGGCGACGAUCAGUAGCCGACCUGAGAGGGUGACCGGCCACAUUGGGACUGAGACACGGCCCAAACUCCUACGGGAGGCAGCAGUGGGGAAUAUUGCACAAUGGGGGAAACCCUGAUGCAGCGACGCCGCGUGAGCGAAGAAGUAUUUCGGUAUGUAAAGCUCUAUCAGCGGGGAAGAAAAAAUGAC